rnacentral:rRNA from 1 species
UACGAAGGGUGCAAGCGUUGCUCGGAAUUAUUGGGCGUAAAGCGCACGUAGGCGGCUUAGCAAGUCGGAAGUGAAAUCCCACGGCUCAACCAUGGAAGUGCUUUCGAAACUGCUGAGCUUGAGUACGAAAGAGGAUCGCGGAAUUCCCGGUGUAGAGGUGAAAUUCGUAGAUAUCGGGAGGAACACCAGUGGCGAAGGCGGCGACCUGGACAGUGACUGACACUCAAAUGCGAAAGCGUGGGGAGCAAACAGG